UACGGAGGGGGCUAGCGUUGUUCGGAAUUACUGGGCGUAAAGCGCGCGUAGGCGGCCUGGCAAGUGGAAGGUGAAAUCCCUCGGCUUAACCGAGGAACUGCCCUCCAAACUGCUUGGCUUGAGACCGGGAGAGGUGAGUGGAAUUCCCAGUGUAGCGGUGAAAUGCGUAGAUAUUGGGAGGAACACCAGUGGCGAAGGCGGCUCACUGGACCGGUACUGACGCUGAGGCGCGAAAGCGUGGGGAGCAAACGGG
rnacentral:rRNA from 1 species